rnacentral:lncRNA from 1 species
UGAUGACUAAUUAUUUGUUUGCUAAUAAUCUUUUAAUUUUCAUUCAUCAGUUAAUUCCUUCCUCAUUAAGUUUUCAAACCCUCAUCUACUAAGAUCUUCUAGAAAAGUCAAUAUCUCUUAUUUACAGUUGAUCGUUGAAUCCCUAUAUAACAGCUUUACAGCCAGCUUCUGUUGUAUGUCUUGACACUUCGUCUUGGUGGGCUUCUUGUUGCUUCUUUUUCUUUUUUAUUUUUUUUUCUUGUGUGAAUUUAUUUCUAUGCAUUGACAGUUACUCGUAGAUUUAGUUACCUUUUGAAAUGCUAGCUUCAGAUCUUUUAUGAUUUUUUACUUUUACAGGUAUCUGAAGAGACGAGGUAUCUUUCUGCAACUUCACUAAGAGCACAGAAUGGAGCUGUAGUAUGGACUUCUUUCAGAAAGACGGCAACAAAAAUAAGACUCAGAGUAAAGCCGCUAACAUCUCGCUACAAGCCUUCCUGUGAACAUGCUGUCUUAUGGCUUGAGACCAACAUGCGGGCACUAAUCACCAUCUGGAGAGAGAAUGAGAUUCAAGGCCAGCUGAACUUGGCUCAA